AACAACGAAGAGUUUGAUCCUGGCUCAGGAUGAACGCUAGCGACAGGCUUAACACAUGCAAGUCGAGGGGCAGCAUGAUUUGUAGCAAUACAGAUUGAUGGCGACCGGCGCACGGGUGAGUAACGCGUAUGCAACUUACCUAUCAGAGGGGGAUAGCCCGGCGAAAGUCGGAUUAAUACCCCAUAAAACAGGGGUCCCGCAUGGGAAUAUUUGUUAAAGAUUCAUCGCUGAUAGAUAGGCAUGCGUUCCAUUAGGCAGUUGGCGGGGUAACGGCCCACCAAACCGACGAUGGAUAGGGGUUCUGAGAGGAAGGUCCCCCACAUUGGUACUGAGACACGGACCAAACUCCUACGGGAGGCAGCAGUGAGGAAUAUUGGUCAAUGGCCGAGAGGCUGAACCAGCCAAGUCGCGUGAAGGAAGAAGGAUCUAUGGUUUGUAAACUUCUUUUAUAGGGGAAUAAAGUGGAGGACGUGUCCUUUUUUGUAUGUACCCUAUGAAUAAGCAUCGGCUAACUCCGUGCCAGCAGCCGCGGUAAUACGGAGGAUGCGAGCGUUAUCCGGAUUUAUUGGGUUUAAAGGGUGCGUAGGUGGUGAUUUAAGUCAGCGGUGAAAGUUUGUGGCUCAACCAUAAAAUUGCCGUUGAAACUGGGUUACUUGAGUGUGUUUGAGGUAGGCGGAAUGCGUGGUGUAGCGGUGAAAUGCAUAGAUAUCACGCAGAACUCCGAUUGCGAAGGCAGCUUACUAAACCAUAACUGACACUGAAGCACGAAAGCGUGGGGAUCAAACAGGAUUAGAUACCCUGGUAGUCCACGCAGUAAACGAUGAUUACUAGGAGUUUGCGAUACAAUGUAAGCUCUACAGCGAAAGCGUUAAGUAAUCCACCUGGGGAGUACGCCGGCAACGGUGAAACUCAAAGGAAUUGACGGGGGCCCGCACAAGCGGAGGAACAUGUGG
rnacentral:rRNA from 1 species